UCCUUUGUGAUACGCGCCG
rnacentral:misc_RNA from 1 species